GAGCCUGUAUUGGGUUCCAGUAUGAAUGAAGUUAUUGGUUAAUUUAUUUUUUAGUUUUUUUAUUGAAUUUUUUUUUCAAUAAUAAAAAGUUAUUGUUGUAACAAAACAAAGAUAAGUCUUCGGAAAUUUUAUUUUUAGAAUAACAAUGGUUGUUUUAAAAAGUUUUCUAGGGCAGAAUUUUAUAUAAUAAUUUAAAUCUAUUAAUAAUUUUUAAAAUUACUCCGGAGUUAACGGAAAAUCAUACCUAAUCUAGUUCUUAUAGUAAGGUAAGUUUUACAUCGAUGUUGUAUUUAAGUUUAUUAAAAAAGGAGAAAUUUUAAUUUUUAAGACUGUUCUUCUUUUAAUUAACUUAACGUGAUAUUAGUUUAAUUCAUUGUAAGAUAGAAUUGUUUAUCUUGUUUGUUACUGGGUUACAGUUUUAACAGUACGAAAGGAAAAUCAAAAAAAGUU
rnacentral:rRNA from 1 species